rnacentral:lncRNA from 1 species
CUGCUUGUGUGUGUGUCUGUGUGUGUGUACACUCAUGUGGGAGGCUACUCUUGGAGGUGCUGCGGCAGUGUAACUGUGGACACUGGAGAGAGGUUGUCCACACUGGAAAGCUGCAGAGCAGGAAAGAUGCUGCUGAGUGCCCCUGAGAAGGGACCCUGCGUGUGUCCUUCCCAGCCAGAGCACAGCCUAGAGGGAUGUGAUUGGUGAAGAAGGGUGUCACCACCAGCAAGGAUGGCCCUGGAGAACAGACAGGGCUGCUGGGUCCUGAAGCUAAGCAGAAGAGCCCUGGAUCAACAUCUGGAUGGGAGACAACAGCACUCUGCUACCUUCUCUACUUUACUCAUGGCAACAAGUGCUGGGGAAGCACUGGAAGGAGAGAGAGGCCAGCACAAGCUGUGGCCAAGCACAGCCCUGCGGAGCCCUAAAGACAGGGAGGUGGAUUUCGCUUUGCCUUUCUGUCCUUUCCAGUAUCAGGAGGCCGAGAGGAUGACCCAAACCAUGCCACCACCAAGUCCAUGGCCACCCCUGAGUGCGGUGUUGGGCCCUUCCUGGCUCCUGGGAUACCUCCUCCAGAGGGAGGUGGUAGGCUUAGGCCCUAGCUAGGUUGUGCUGUGCCAUAGAUUUUAAAUUUAGAAAUUGUUCAGAUUUGUACUUUGAAAAAAAUCCAUGGGGCAUUAAAUAUUUACAGAAAAUCAGCAGCUAUGUAAAUAAUAGAAAAAGCCA